rnacentral:tRNA from 1 species
CGGAGUGUAGCGCAGCCCGGUAGCGCACUUGCAUGGGGUGCAAGGGGUCGGAGGUUCGAAUCCUCUCACUCCGACCA